AGAAGGCUGAUUUCUGGCAGAGGCGGGGGCGCCGCUUCGGGAGAGCGGGCAGUUCUAGGAGGCCGACCUGGAGAGCCUCCCGGUUCCCCUUCCCCUUUUCCCGGACCCCGCGGGGACACCCCCUCGCCGCCACCCGGGCCUCCCCGAGGGCCCAACUGCGGGUCAGGCGGCCCGGGCCAGCCGAAAGGGAAGUGGGGCUACCCCACAGCCAGGCAGCGGGGCUGGGGUCAGACCCGGGAGCCGGAGGUUGGAGACGUGCGACAGUCACCUGCGGGCAGAUUCCAGAGGGGAGACCCAGGGCUGCAGGGGACGCCCCUUCGUGGCAGCUACCCAGCCUCGGCCCACUGCCAGUGUUACGUGGCUGCAUGACCAUACACUUCUGGGUAGAGCCCAGUGGAAGACAAAGAAGACUCAAGGAAUAGCCCUUGAGGGCUCAGGAGCUAUACAGAUGGGAUAGAGGGUGUGAGUGCUGGGAAGCCCCAUCCAUGGCUCGCUGGAGAUUAGAGGCCUGUUAAUCUGAAGACAAAGGAAUGAAGACGAAAACGUUUCUGAAAAUGUGGGUGGAGACACCUGGGCCUUUACAGGGUACGCUCCAGAGCUGCUUCCAGGCAGGGACCCCGGCUGAGAGAAGCCAGAGCCAGAGAGUCGCAGGCUUGCUUGCUCUUAUCUUCCCUCUGCUGGGGGGGUCGAGGGGAGAUCUGGCCCCUCUGCUCUGCCCUCCUGAUUUCCCGUCUAAGGGAUUUAGGAGACUUUUGCCUUUUCCUAAUCUCUCCCUUUGCAGAAUUUCUGCGAAGUCACAAUCCCAUUUCCAGGCAAAGGUGCUUGGUCAUAAAGAUAAUAAAGAUAUUCAUUCAUGAUGGAGGGGAAGUACACAGUGGUUUCAGCUGCCUGUAGGGCUCCACUUACUCAUGGUGUGUGACAGAUGCUGAGCCCUUCCCCAAAUCUCAUGGAUGGGAAGGAAACCUGGCGCCGCGGGGUGGUCGCGGGAAGCCGUGGCAUGGCUUGGUGAACACAGGCUCGCCGACCCGGGGGCGGAUGCUGAGGUUGCCAUUGUUGGUGGCUGCAUCUGCAGUAGACGGGUCGGGAUGCCGGCCUCAGACCACAGCGUUGCUAAAUGCCAAACCCAAGGCCUCCCCGUCUUUAACACUGCUGGGCAUUCUACAGCGCAAGGAGGCAGCUGGGGCUGGACUGCCCAGUGCCUGCCGUUGACUGUGCGUCUUCUGCCUGUGAGCUAGCCUGCCACACCUGGGGAUACACGGUGGGGAAAUCAAUCAGCUUCCCUCCCUUCUAGAGCUUCAGGUCCGGCGUUGGUGUCUAGAGGCAAGGGGAGGAGGCAGGGAGGCCUCUUCUUUUCUGUCCCCCUUUCUCUUGGCCAAUUUGGAGGAGAUGGUGGGGGACCUGUCUCUCAUCUGACCUCCUGGAAGCCCUGCCUGCUGCUCCAGUGUGGCUCUCCCAGGGCUGAGGCCUGGAACCUAGGGCUGGGCUACCUGGGGUGCUCAGCUCUGCCGCACCCCAGCCCUCCUCGGCUGCAGCCCUGGCUUCUUUUCUUACCCACUGGGAUGGCCCGUGGGACUAACCUUGCAGCCUGCAGGACUAUGGCCCAGAUGACCUUUCCGGAGCAGGGGAAGAGUUCACAGGUCUCAGACCAGGUUGACCCCGAGCCCUCUCUUUCCUGCUUCGCAUAGGGGCGGGCCAAGGGAGGCAGGGACAAUGGCAUUCCUGUUUGCAGGCCUUUGUUCCCGCCAGGAGGGCCCCCGGAGCUAAUAAAAAGGUUUGUGGCUCCGAUGUCUAAGAGGCAG
rnacentral:lncRNA from 1 species